rnacentral:rRNA from 1 species
CGCUGCGGCAGGCCUAAUACAUGCAAGUCCAACGGUAACAGUCCCGGCAACGGGAGCUGACGAGUGGCGCACGGGUGCGUAACACGUAUGCAACCUACCCUGUACUGGGGGAUAACCCUGAGAAAUCGGGGCUAAUACCUCAUGGUAAUAUAGAUGGGCAUCCAUUUAUAUUUAAAGAUUCAUUGGUACGGGAUGGGCAUGCGCCCCAUUAGUUAGUUGGUGAGGUAACGGCUCACCAAGGCGAUGAUGGGUAGGGGUUCUGAGAGGAUUAUCCCCCACACUGGUACUGAGACACGGACCAGACUCCUACGGGAGGCAGCAGUAAGGAAUAUUGGGCAAUGGAGGCAACUCUGACCCAGCCAUGCCGCGUGCAGGAAGACGGCCCUAUGGGUUGUAAACUGCUUUUGUAUGGGACUAACCAUGGUUACUGGUAACCAUCUGCAUGUACCAUACGAAUAAGCAUCGGCUAACUCCGUGCCAGCAGCCGCGGUAAUACGGAGGAUGCGAGCGUUAUCCGGAAUUAUUGGGUUUAAAGGGUGCGUAGGCUGACAAGUAAGUCAGUGGUGAAAUACCCCGGCUUAACCGGGGGGUUGCCAUUGAAACUGUUUGUCUUGAGUGUAAUCGAAGUGGGCGGAAUGAGGGGUGUAGCGGUGAAAUGCAUAGAUAUUCCUCAGAACACCGAUAGCGCAGGCAGCUCACUAGCUUACAACUGACGCUGAGGCACGAAAGCGUGGGUAUCAAACAGGAUUAGAUACCCUGGUAGUCCACGCUGUAAACGAUGAUCACUAGCUGUUUGCGAUACACA